ACCUGUACUGCUCCUACCCAAACACCCAACAUAAUCUUACUCUCUCCCAAUUAUGGGAGAUCCUAAUCCGACGUCGUUUUCACUUCCUCCCGGUACUCGAUUUUACCCCUCCGACGAACAACUCAUUUGCUACUAUUUAUCUUUAAAAAACAGCGCCGAUCAUCGGAACGAUUUUCAGUUUAACCUAAUUCGAGAAAUUGAUCUCUACAAUUUUGACCCGUUUAACUUACCGGAUUCCGCCUGUUUUAAAUACGGACGCGGCGGCCGGAAAAGACACUGGUUUUGUUUCGUGGCUAGGGUUUUAAAAGGAGGGCGGAGGAGAGCUGGGGGUGGAUACUGGAAGAAGAGAGGUAGAGUUAGGGAUGUGAUGGGUGAGGGUGCAGGGACAGUUGUGGCGGGUACGCGGAAAAGUUUCGUUUUUUAUUUAGGGGAUUGUACUAAGACUGCUGUGAAGACUGAUUGGUUAAUGUAUGAGUACGCUUUAAUUGGAAAUCCUAUGCUUCUACUUGUGUGCAGGCAUCUUUUGUUCUAUGCCGAGUAUUUAUCAAAUCUCGUUAUCGAAAUAACUUGUCAGAGCAUGUAUUUAGUUCCUAUGGUGAAGAAACUGUGGCGGCAGUACGUCAUGUAGGUAUUCAAUGUGAUGGAACUGCUGCAUCGGUUACUGAGUCUAAAAUGCAUGAUGGAAAUACCGUUGACCAGGAGAAUGAUGUCUCAAAGUUACAAAAUGGAAUAGUUACCAACUUAAAUGGUCAAGCUCUUACAGAAUCUGUUGUCAAGCAGCAGAUUGGUCUUGAGAGCGACAGACCUCCAGGUCUCAAUGGUUUUUCUGCUCAGGAACUGACAGCGAUUUUAGAAGGAGAUUUUAUAGAGUUGGAUGACCUUCUAUGCCCGCUCCCCGGCAUUAACUAAAAGAAGAUAACAACAACAAUCCCAAAAGUUCAACAGCAAUCCCAAGCAAGUACAACCAAUAACAAUCGAAGCAAGUAAAAUCGAUAAGAAUCCCAAUCAAGUAAUCGAUAAGGAUCCCAAGCAAGCUAUUUUUGGAAAUCAGUAUAGCAUCAAGUUCAUGCCGGGUUAUAUCACUAAAGGCGACAAAAAUGGUAUUCAGGUCACUUUCCAGAGCAAUAGAAAUUGAGAUUAUAAUAGGUCAAUGAAAGAGUGAUAGUCAUCAAAACUGUGAGGUCACCUCCUACAGAGGCAUCAUUUUUGAAAAUCAGCUCAAGAGAAUUGGAUGAGUAAUUGUUCACAUUAUGUUGUCUCGAUGGAUAUCUUGACAGUUGUCAAAAUUAUGAGGUCACUUCAACGGCAAGAUUUUUGAAAAUCAGUUCAAGAGAGUAGAUGGGUUGAGUAAUGAGGCUCACCAUUCAAGUAUGCAAUUACCUGGAAGGAUAUCUUGUUUAUGUGUGAAGAGUUAAGUCACCUAAUACAAUGUCAUGAUCCGUGAAAAUUGGCUCAAUAGUAUUAGAUUGCGUGAAUAGUGGCUCACGUUACCUGGACAGAUAUCUUAAACAGUUAUCAAAUUACGAGGUCACUUCAUACAGUUUCAUGGUUGUUGAAGAUCAGCACAAGAUAAUAGAUGGAAUGAGUAAUGAGGUCAAAUUUACAAUUACACAAUUACCUGGAUGGAUAAUAUCUUGAGUAGUGGCUGAAAGAGUUUAGUCACUUUAUACAAUGUCAUGAUCCUGAAAAUCAGCUAAAGAGAAUUAGACUGGGUGAGUAAUGGCUAGUAUUAUAUUGUUACCUGGAUGGAUAUCUCAACAGUUACCAAAUUAUGAGGUUACUUCAUACAGUGUCAGAGAUUGCUGAAUCAGCUCUUGAUAAUAGAUCAGGUUAGCAAGGUUCAUAUUUUACAAUUAUGCAACUACCUGGAUGGAUAUAUUGGAUAUGGUUGAUAGUUGAAUCAACUUAGUGCAGUGUCACGAUUGCUGUAAAUCAGCUGAAGAGAAUUAGACUGGGUGAGUAAUGGCAGUAUUAUGACCUGGAUGGAUAUCGUAAUAGUUAUCGAGCCGAGGGUAUUUCGGAAACAACCUCUCUAUCUUCGUGUUAGGUAGGGGUAAGGUCUGCGUACACUUUACCCUCCCCAGACCCCACUUGUGGGAUUUCACUAGGCUUGUUGUUGUUGUUGUUGUGGAUAUCGUGAUAGUUAUCAAGUUAUAAGGUCAUUUCAUACAUUAUCAUGAUUGCUCAAAAUCUAAAAGGUAAUAGAUACGCUGAGUAAAGCUUGGAUUACACUUAUACAAUAGGAUGGAUGUCUUGUUAUAUGGGCGAGAGUUGAAUCACUCAGAGAAAUGUCAUGAUUGCUGAAAAUCAGCUCGAGACACUAGAUGGGUAAGUAAUGGCUCACAUAUUACAACUACCUGGAUGGACAUCUUGUAUUUGGUGGAGUUAACAGCACAAGUAAUAACAGCUAUAGCUGUGACAUGGAUGGCCAUCUCAUAUGUGGGGAAGGAUAUCUUGUGUAUGGUAAACACUUAAUUAUGGGAGCGCCAACAUGGAUGUAUAUCUUGUAUAUGGUAAAAAGUUAACAGCAACAACAACAACAACAAGUAUCUCAUAAUACUAAGCAAGUUGGAUGGUGAAGAGUUAACAAUUAGCUCCAAAGUCCAUAGGAUGUGACAAUGUCAGUUGGUUAUGAGGUGACAAAAAUAUUAGGAAACCGGUGCUGGUGGGAGAGUAGGUACAAGCACGCACCUGGUGGAAUAGUCGAGGUGUGCACAAGCUGGCCCGUUUAUCAGGACCCAAGUUCUCUUGCUUUCAGGCUGGCAAUUUUGGCUCCUUAGUAGACUAUGCUCUUGGUGUAGAUGUGGCAGCAUAAUUAAGGUUAUUGGUACGUUUUGGCGAACUUGGCGGUGUAAGAUAAAAUCUCAACAUUGCCUUUUUUUUUGCUUCACAAUUUCUAGCGAUCAUGCCUAGUAGUAAGUUGUGGAGAAUGUAAAACUUCAAAGUCCAGUUCCAGAUAAGUAUGUGUGUUUUUAGCAAAUCCUAGUACAAGAUGGUGUCAUUAUGAGAAUCUGCUGAUUCUCUUUUAUUUAAGUACUUUAGUAGUUGUAUUAUAUGUCAUAUGUCCUCAGGGAGUGAUUUUAUGGUGUGCCUCGUACAACUUACAUUAGUUGUGUGAAGCCUCUUUUUAUCUCACACAUUUGGGUCCACAAAAUUGUGAGACAAAAAGGAUGCCAAAAUAAAAAAAUUCGUCCACUGGGGUCUUUUCCCA